AAAAGAUUGUAAUUUUUCAGGUAGGUAAUCUUCUCCCUGACUUCGGCAGUGCGUCGUGGCUCUCGCCUGAACUCCAAUCUCAGAUGAAUUAAAGGUCUGCUGCUGAAAAGUUUUCACGAUGUGGCAGGAAGAGCUUCUACAAGUUGAGAUAUCUAUAGCAAUCCAUACCAGCGUCGGAAGGGUUGGACUCGAGGGAGCCUGGUCAGUACUGGGCAGAACGGUGAAAAUCAACUAAAGCAACAAGGUACUCCCGUCAACCAUGGUGGACCAACAACUCUGAACACAGAAAUCAUCAAUCAACUACAAGAAGUACUAGCAUCUGUAUAUAUAGCAUCCCCUCCCAUCUGUUAUAAUCAAUGCCUUGUAAUAUUUCUUUCUUUUUUAACAUGUGCACAAAUAAUAAAAAAAAAUCUGCGGGGGGUGGGGCGUU